rnacentral:rRNA from 1 species
AUUGAACGCUGGCGGCAUGCUUACACAUGCAAGUCGAACGGCAGCGCGGGCUUCGGCCUGGCGGCGAGUGGCGAACGGGUGAGUAAUACAUCGGAACGUGCCCAGUAGUGGGGGAUAGCUCGGCGAAAGCCGGAUUAAUACCGCAUACGACCUGAGGGUGAAAGCGGGGGAUCUUCGGACCUCGCGCUAUUGGAGCGGCCGAUGGCAGAUUAGCUAGUUGGUGGGGUAAAGGCCUACCAAGGCGACGAUCUGUAGCUGGUCUGAGAGGACGACCAGCCACACUGGGACUGGGACACGGCCCAGACUCCUACGGGAGGCAGCAGUGGGGAAUUUUGGACAAUGGGCGAAAGCCUGAUCCAGCAAUGCCGCGUGUGUGAUGAAGGCCUUCGGGUUGUAAAGCACUUUUGGCGGGAACGAAAAGGACUGUGCCAAUACCACGGUUCGAUGACGGUACCCGCAGAAUAAGCACCGGCUAACUACGUG